GACGAACCACCCAAACGUUAUUCGGAAUUACUGGGCUUAAAGAGUGCGUAGGCGGCCCGGAAAGUAAGGUGUGAAAUCCCACAGCUCAACUGUGGAACUGCGCUUUAAACUUCCGGGCUAGAGGGAUAUAGAGGUGAGCAGAACAGAUGGUGGAGCGGUGAAAUGCGUUGAUAUCAUCUGGAAUACCGGAGGCGAAGGCGGCUCACUGGGUAUCUUCUGACGCUGAGGUACGAAAGCUAGGGUAGCGAACGGG
rnacentral:rRNA from 1 species